rnacentral:piRNA from 1 species
UAAGACUUAAAGGUCUAAGCUGUGGC